rnacentral:lncRNA from 1 species
GACUCAGGGCUGCGGCCGGGGUCCUGCGGGGUAGGAGCGCGAGGCCGGCCUGAGGGAGGAGGCCUAGCGACCCAUCCGGCGCCUCCCGCCCCGGGCACCCGCCCGCGGCCGCGCAUCCUGCGGGCCCCAGGAGGCCUCCAUCUCAAAACAACGUGUUUUUAGGUAAUUUCAAACUUAGGGAAAAGCUUCAAGAAUAAUACCGAAAAUGUCAGUGUCCCCAGCACCUAGAUCCCCCAGUUAAAUCCUUUUCCAUUUCACCGCGCUGCCCCCCGCCCCCUGGACGGUUAUGUGGCCGCGUGGGGUUGGCUCUGCCCAGGGCCGCGGUCACUGCACAGAACGCCCUGCACGUAAGGGGCUCCGCCUGGGUAAGACCCCGCCCAGCUGGGCAGGAGGAGGGCGUGGGCCCAGGACAUGGAGACCAGCCUGGGCAACAUAGCGAGACCCCAUCUCUGCAGAAAUAAAAUAUUAGCCGGACGGUGCACGGUGGCUCAGGCCUGUAAUCCCGGCACUUUGGGAGGCCGAGGUGGGAGGAUGGCCUGAGGUUAGUGUCUCACAUGUCUGUGUGAAGAGACCACCAAACAGGCUUUGUGUGAGCAACAAGGCUGUUUAUUUCACCCGGGUGCAGCCCGGCUGAGUCGGAAAAGAGAGUCAGCAAAGGGCGAUGGGAUUAUCAUUAGUUCUUACAGGUUUUGGGAUAGACGGUGGAGUUAGGAGCAAUGUUUUGCAGGCAGGUGGUGGAUCUCAUAAGGUACAUUCUCAAGGGUGGGGAGAAUUACAAAGAACCUUCUUAAGGGUAGAGGAGAUUACAAAGUACAUUGAUCAGUUAGGAUGGGGCAGAAACAAAUUACAAGGGUGGAAUGUCAUCAGUUAAGGCUGUUUUCACUUCUUUUGUGGAUCUUCAGUUGCUUCAGGCCAUCUGGAUGUAUACAUGCAGGUCACUGGGGAUAUGAUGGCUUAGCUUGGGCUCAGAGGCCUGACAGGAGUUCAAGACCAGCCUGGUGAACAUGACGAAACCCUGUCUCUACAAAAAUAAGAAAUGAACGCAGCAUGGUGGCAUGCACCUGCAGUCCCAGCCUCUUGGGAGGUGGAGGCAUAAGUCAGCUGUGAAUGCGCCCUGCACUAGAGCCUGGGCAGCAGAGCAGACCCUUCCUCAAACCCAAAAAGCGUCGUGCCAACCAGACCAGAUGGUCGCCUAAUCAAUAGAGACCAUGCCCAAUCAGGUAAGGACAGACACAACCAGGCAUGCUUUUUCUUGUUUUGUUUUUUGUUUGUUGUUUUGAGAUGGAGUUUCACUCUUGUUGCCCAGGCUGGAGUGCAGUGGUGUGAUCUCGGCUCACCGGAACCACCACCUCCUGGGUUCAAGCGAUUCUCCUGCCUCAGUCUCCCAAGUAGCUGGGAUUACAGGCAUGCACCACCAGGCCCGGCUAAUUUUGUAUUUUUAGUAGAGACGGGGGUUUCUCCAUAUUGGUCAGGCUGGUCUCAAACUCCCAACCUCAGGUGAUCUGCCUGCCUCGGCCUCCCAAAGUACUGGCAUUACAGGCGUGAGCCACUGCGCCCAGCUUGUUGUUUUUCUUUAGACAGUGUCUUCCUCUGUGGCUCAGGCUGAAGGGCACUGGGAUGAUCACAGCUCACUGCAGCCUCCACCUCCCAGGCUCAAGCCAUCCUUCUUCCUCAGGCUCCUGAGUAGCGGGAGCUACAGGCAUGCGCCAUCAUGCCUGGCUAAUUUUUGUAUUUUUUGUAGAUACGGGGUUUUGCUAUGUAGCCCAGGCUGGUCUUGAACUCCUGACCUCAGGUGAUCCCUCUGCCUCAGCUUCCCAAAGCGCUGGGAUUACAGAACAUGAGCCACUGUGCCCGGCUUAUUGUACAGUCUUUACUCUCGGUUUUCACCAGAGAACUCAAGGGCUGUGAAAAGAGCAGGACCUCACCAGCUGCACGGCGGUGGUGACUGGCUCCAUCUUGCUGUCCCUCCCAAUCACACAACAUCUCCCCUUGAAGGCUCUGCCCAGGCCCGGACUCCCACCUUUCAAGAUGUCUGGAUCAGUGCAGGACCUCCUCCUUGGCCACAUCGCUCUCCUUGGACUGGUUCGUUAACCCUGUUUUACCCACAUUUUCUUUUUUUUUCUUUUUCUUUUUUUUUUUUUUUCUGAGACAGAGUUUCAUUCUUGUUGCCCAGGCUGGAGUGCAAUGACUCGGUCUCGGCUCAUUGCAACCUCCGCCUUGCAGGUUCAAGUGAUUCUCCCACCUCAGCCUCCCAAGUAGGAUUACAGGUACACACCACCACGCACAGCUAAUUGUUUUGUAUUUUAGGAAGAGAUGGGGUUUCAUCAUGUUAGCCAGGCUGGUCAGGUGAUCCAUCCGCCUUGGCCUCCCCAAGUGCUGGGAUUACAGGCGUGAGGCACUGUGCCCGGCCUGCCCCCCUUUUCUCUUGAUGCACAUGACAGCCUUCUUGCAAUCAAGAAACUACGUGUGGCCAGGAUCUCAUCCACUAUCACAGUUUCAGCUUUCCCCAAACUGGAAUGUGUCUUUGCAGACGCCCAUCCUUAUUAAAGGGCAAAGACUUCUCAUACACCUAGGAUGGAUCUUAUAUUCUUGGCGGGACUGCAGAGAAGGUGCCGUGUCCUGAGUCCUCAUGUCAGGGCACAGGCUUCCAGCCAGUUCUACCUGGGUUAUGUUUAUCUCAAUUCCCUGGUGGUAUUGGUGUCUGCUGGGUUUUGCCAGAAUGAAGACACCGUGUUUUCAUUUGUCAGUUGAUUCGUAUUUUCCAGGAAGACAUUCUGAGAUUACAGCAUUGUCUUAGUCAAGGUGCUGCAGAAGGACAGAACUAAUAGGAUAUAUGUACAUAUGAAAGAAAGUUUAUGAAGAACUGGCUCACACCAUCACAAGGCAAAGUCCCAUGACAGGCCAUCUGCAAGCUGAGGAGCGAGGAAGCCAGCAGUGGCUCAGCCGGAGUCCAACAGCCUCAAACGGAAUCCAACAGUUCAGGCUUCAGUCUGUGGCCAAAUGCCCAGAGACCCCGGAAAGCUACUGGUGUUAGUCCCAGAGCCGGAAGGCCAAAGAACCUGGAGUGUGAUGUCCAAGGGCAGGAGGAAUGGACAGAAGCAUCCAGCAUGGGGUAAAGACGAAAGCCAGAAGACUCAGCAAGCUAGCUUACCUACUUUCUUCUGCCUGCCUUGUUCUAGCCGCGCUGGCAGCCGGUUGGAGGGUGCCCACCCCCACUGAGGGUGGAUCUUCCUCUCCUAGUCCACUGACUCAAAUUUCAGUCUCUCUGGGAGCACCAUCACACCAGAAACAAUACCAGCCAUCUAGCCACCCUUCAGUUCACCAUCACAACCAUUGUCUUAUUCAUGAAACUUCUGCAGACCCACCUUAACCUCCAUCGGUGACUUCUACCUGAAGCCCUCUGAUUGUUGCCCAGUGGUGCUUUUUAAAAUAAUUUCCAUAGUUUCUUCUACACCUUUAGUUGGCAUUCUACUGUAAAGGAGAGAUUUUAUUUUCUUACUCAUUUAUUUGUUAGUUUAUAGUCACCACCAUAUGGAUGCAGAGUUCUGUCUCAUUCACUGGGAAGUAUUCUAUUGCAGUCAUGAUUUAUUUUGAUGUUCACAUCCCAGAGUUGGUGAGUGAGCGCCCCUUCACGCUGGCUCCCGAGUGCUGACGUGUCCCCGUCCUUCUCUGCACUUUUCCUUACCUCCUGGCCUCAGAUAUUCCAGGGUCAUUUGUUCUCUCCCUGCUCCAACCCUGCAGUCAGCCAUCUCCCUAGGGACGUUGGUUCCUUUAUGGAAGGUGGCAUUUAGAAGCCAGGAUUUGGGCUGAGCACUGUGGCUCAUGCUUGUAAUCCCAGCACUUGGGGAGGCCGAAGUGGGCGGAUCGCUGGAGGCCAAGAGUCUGAGACCAGCCUGGCUAACAUGGUGAAACCCUUCCCCGUCUCUACUACAAAUAAAAAAUUAGCUGGGUGUGUUGGCACGUGCCUGUAAUCCCAGUUACUCAGGAGGCUGAAGCACCAGAAUCUCUUGAACCCAGGAGGCCGAGGUUGCAGUGAGCCAAGAUUGCACCACUGCACUACAGCUUGGGUGACAGCGCGAGACACCGUCUCAAAAAGGAUAAUAAUUUAAAAAACAGCAGGAUUUGGGUGAGCAGUGCGCUCAUUGCUUCUGGGCUCUCUCGGUGGACAUAGGCUAGGAAUGUAAGAUGUAUGUGCCUGUGUAUAUACACACGUCUGUAGCUAUGUCUAUGUUGCAUACAUGUGUUUUUCCAAAAACCAAAUCCAUAACCAUGCCUUCAGUUUCAGCCCAACACCUCCGGGCUCUUUCUAGCUUUCUACCUUUCAUGAUUGUGAAUACCUUCUCCAGCAGUGAGAAACCUGGCUCCUUUGUCCUCAGUGGAUUUUCUUAUUUGCUCAAUUUUUUUGUUUUUUGUUUUGUUUUUGUUUUUGAGACAGAGUCUUGUUCUGUCACCCAAGCUGGAGUGCAGUGGCAUAAUCUCGGCUUACCGCAACCUCUGCCUCCUGGGUUCAAGCGAUACUCCUGCGUCAGCAUCCCGAGUAGCUGGGAUUACAGGCAUGUGCCACCAUGCCUGGCUAAUUUUUGUAUUUUUAGUAGAAACGGAGUUUCACCAUGUUGGUCAGGCUGGUCUCGAACUCCUGACCUCGUGAUCUGGGUGCCUUGGCCUCCCAAAAUGCUGGGAUUACAGGCGUGAGCCACCACACUCGGCCAAGUCAGAAUUUUAAGUUUCAUCUUUUUUGUAAUUAAUUGAACACCUGCAUUCAAAGAAACAGAGAAGUACCACCACGCAUAAGUAAGGUGGCCAUGGCGUACCUAGGUUUCUCAGCCUAUCAAGCUUAGGGGCUUCUUUUUACGUGAAGUCCUCCUAAGACAGCCUCUGAUAGCUGCCUUGUGGUCAGCAGGGAAGAAGGGCCUUGUAAUAGCACGACUCUGCAGGGAGGCGGGCAGCUCUCAUGGCCUUAGUUUGCAGACCUCGAGAUGUCCACUAGAAAGGAGGAGAUCGUGGCUGGCUGCGGUGGCUCACGCCUGUAAUCCCAGGAUUUUGGGAGGCCGAGGCAGGCGGAUCACGGGAUCAGGAGAUCGAGACCAUCCUGGCUAAUGUGGUGAAACCCCGUCUCUACUAAAAAUACAAAAACUUAGCCGGGCGUGGUGGCGGGCGCCUGAGUCCCAGCCACUCGGGAGGCUGAGGCAGGAGAAUGGCGUGAACCCGGGAGGCAGAGCUUGCAGUGAGCCGAGAAUUGCGCCACUGCACUCCAGCCUGGGCGACAGAGCGAGACUUCGUCUCAAAAAAAAAAAAAAAAAAAAAAGAGGAGGUCGCAGCGUCUCCAGUAACACAUCAACUCCGCAACAAGGGGCCACAAGUGUUCCUCGCCAACGGGUCCCUGCUACGAUCCCUAUUUUAAAUAAGGGGAAACUGAGGCGUGGAGGGGGUAAGAAACAGAGAAGUCAGAAUUCAAACCUGGACGACGCCUGUUAGUUUUUUGGGAUUACAGGGGUAAGCCACUGUGCCCGGCCACACGUGUUAGUUUUUUGGGAUUACAGGGGUAAGCCACUGUGCCCGGCCAUGCCUGUUAGUUUUGUAACUCCAGCAUUCCUGUCUCUCCUGCAUUUGUCAAUAGCACUAGUCCUUUGUGGUGAGUUUUUUUUUUUUUUUUUUUUUUUUUUUUGGAGACAGGGUCUUCCUCUAUCGCCCAGGAGUGCAAUGGUGCGAUCUUGGCUCACUGCAACUUCCAUCUCCCAGGUUCAAGCAAUUCUCCUGCCUCAGCCUCCCGAGUAGCUGGAAUUACAAGCACCCACCACCACGUUCAGCUAAUUUUUGUGUUUUUGGUAGAGACAGGGUUUUGCCAUUUUGGCCAGGCUGGGCUCGAACUCCUGGCCUCAAGAGAUCCGACCACCUCGGCCUCCCAAAGUGCUGGGGUUACAGGUGUGACCCACUGCGCCCAGCCUUUUUUUUUUUUUUUUUAAUACAGAUUGGGUCUUGCUAUGUUGACCAGGCUGGUCUAGAACUCCUGGCCUCAAGCGAUUUUCCCACCUUGGCCUCCCAAGGUGCUGAGAUUACAGGCAUGAGCCACCGUGCCCGGCCAGGACCACCCCUUUGGAGUGAUACCUCUCCCCAAUUUUAUGUGGCUCUGGUGGGUCAUCCCUCAGUGUCCACUUAACAGUGACAGUGACGUUAUGUCCUGCUUUUCCCAGAAGAGUCCCAGGUUAUGUUAACUGUUCUAGCAAAAUUAUUCAGAGCACCCCAUUUUCAGUCUCAGAAAUGUCUCCAUUAGUGUCAUGUGAAGUCACCCUAAACGAGGUCAAGAAAAUCAUCCAGGCUGGGCGUGGUGGCUCAUGCCUGUAAUCCCAGCACUGUGGGAGGCUGAGGCAGGUGGAUCACUUGAGGUCAGGAGUUCGAGGCCAGCCUGCCCAACAUGGUGAAACCCCGUCUCUACUAAAAAUACAAAAAUCAGUCAGGCGUGGUGGUGGCACCUGUAAUCCCAGCUACUCGGGAGGCUGAGGCACGAGAAUCACUUGAACCCGGGAAGCGGAGGUUGCAGUGAGACCAGAUCGUGCCACAGCACUCCAGCCUGGGCAAGAGUGAGACUGUCUCAAAAACAAACAAAAAAACUCCUCUUAGUUCAUGCGUGGAUUCUGAUGCAGGCUUGCAGGGAGACCCUCAGGUGCUGCCCAUGAGUAGCUGCGUUGACGGUAGCUGCUUCCUGGCUACCCCGAGGGGCUGCUCUGCAGUCAGGGGAGAGGGGCCGGCUCUCAGGGAAAGGCAUCAAGAACCACACUUGAGUUCCUGGAUCCGGGCACAUCUAAAAUUUAGGAGCCCAUAAACUCCCGUUUUCACAGAACCUAUUUUGAGUUGGGUUCUUGCCACAUGCAAUCAGAAGUCCUGGCCGACACACAACUUUGGCUUCAGCAGUCUCCCUGGGUGUCCCCACCCCAUCCCGUUCCCUGUGUUCAAAGGCGCUUGGGGCCAUCCUCCACUGUGAAACUCCCAGACACGCCAGCCCAGCUGCUUCAGGUGUGCGCUGGGAAAUUUUCACUCCCUGAAUUCCAAAAAUGAUGGCAGCCUCUGCCUCACCCUCAUAAACGCAACGUUUACAUUUAUUGUCCAGUUGUUUCAGGACGUGGAUUUUCUUUGUUUUGCUUUUUUUUUUUUUUUUUUUGAGACAAGAGUUUCACUUUUGUCCCCCAGGCUCGAGUGCAGUGGCGCGAUCUUGGCUCACCACAACCUCCACCUCCCAGGUUCAAGCGAUUCUCCUGCCUCAGCCUCCUGAGUAGCUGGAACUACAGGCGCUGCCACCACACCUAGCUAAUUUUUGUAUUUUUAGUAAAGAUGGGGUUUCACCAUGUUGGCCAGCCUGGUUUGGAACUCCUGGCCUCAGGUGAUCCGCCCGCCUUGGCCUCCCAAAGUGCUGGGAUUACAGGUGUGAGCCACCGCGCCCAGCCCUUUUUUCUGUCUGAGAACAAGAAGACAGUAAGCUCUGGGGAAAAAACAGGACCCACCUUCAUCUUUCUUAUCUUUGCUGUGCACUUCUUACAAAUAUUUGCUGAGGCUGUGAAUUAUAAUUGCAAAAGUAGAAUCCACUGUGUCCAAGCAGAAGAGAGGGUGUCAUGGGGAGCGGGCAGUGGGGAGUCACCUGUCUGCCAGGCUGGACGGGUGAACACAUUCAUCAUCUUUAGGCAUGCGAGCUUCUCCUACCUCUAUCCAUCCUUCCUUCAGCCCAUUUCCCCCGACUUCUGCCACCACCUCCGGGACGUCCUGAAGGCGAACCGGCCUCCCACCUGCUAAGUCCAACAGACACUUCAGCCUGGCUCUCACCAGCCAUGGCGGGUUGCCCUCCUACCUCUUGACAACACGCUCUUCCUCGGCUGCAGAGACACCUCCUCUCCGUAUUUUCCUCCCACAUUAGCAAUGACCACACUCAGGCUAUGUCACUCAUGGUAUUUUUGCAUCAGAAAUGCCAUCCUUGGGCCGGGCGCCAUGCCUCAUGCCUGUAAUCCCAGCGCUUUGAGAGGCCGAGCCGGGUGGAUCCCUUGAGGCCAGGAGUUCAAAAACGGCCUGGGCAACAUAGCAAGACCCUGUCUCUACAAAAAGAAACAGUUUUUAAGUCAUUCCUGAUUUUACAACGCUACUCUGAUCUGAGCCCCUGUGGCCUCGGGAUCCCCAGGCGUCUGUUCCCGAGAACGCGGGGCAGAAAGCCUAGUCCUGCACGCAGUACCAACAAUGCGGAGUCAGCGGGUUGUUUCGACUUUGUUCUGUUUCCUGAGGGGUUCUGAAUAAGGGCCACCCCCUUCCUCCUCUGUGCCGCCAUGUUCCCUCCCGGCCACGCCCCCUUGCAACCCCUCCAAUCUCCGCCCUGCACCCUGGCAGCUCCCCCUGGCGGCAGCAGCGGGUCUUCGUGGAGUCAGCCCCUCCGCUGCUUGGCCGCUGGGUUUGUCCCUUAUUUUAAUGGAUGCGCGUUGGCUAGGACUGCAACAUUGUUUCUUUCUUCCACAAAUUUUAGUUUGAAACAGACAGGAAGUUAAUUUCCCGUCUGGCUGCCACACCUGCUGGUGGCGUGGACUGCGGCCCUUAGGCUGUUCCUUGCUCGAUUUAACCCUGGGAGACAUCGAAGCCUUCCCACCCAAGCUGUAGGGAGCUGUUGAAGACCUGGUUCACACGAGAUCCUUUGCGGGGUGCAGCUGGGGAAAGCAUGAUUUCAGCUUGUAAGCUGCAUGGAGAAUGCAAAUGUAUGUGUGUGUGUAUAUAUAUAUGUGUAUAUAUAUAUAUAUAUAUAUAUAUAUAUAUAUAUAUAUACUUUUUUUUCUUUUCUUUUUUUUUCUUUUUUUUUUUUUGGAGACAGAGUGUCCCUCUGUUGCCAGGCUGGAGUGCAGUGGCACGAUCUCGGCUCACUGCAACCUCCUCCUCCCAGGUUCAAGCGAUUCUCCUGCCUCAGCCUCCCAAGUAGCUGGGACUAGAGGUGCACGCCACCAUGCCCGGCUAAUUUUUGUAUUUUUAGUAGAGACAGACUUUCACCACAUUGGCCAGGCUGGUCUCGAACUCCUGACGAUGUGAUCCAUCCGCCUCAGCCUCCCAAAGUGCUGGGAUUACAAGCGUGAGCCACUGUGCCCGGCCAAUGUAUAUAUUUUUUCAAGACAGCUCAACCCAAAGUAGCACCAGCAUGGACAGGCCGAGUGACGAAGACAGUGCUGGAGGCACACAGAGGCUGUGGGGGCAAGUAUGCGGCCGGCUGGACCUGCGGGGACCCUGCCCGUGGCUGGAAAGGGGACCAGGGGGUCCCUGGGAAACACAGGGCUCUGACCUCUGUGCAGGGUGAGGAAGGGUUUUACCAGCAGAGGGAGAGCUCAGCCCAGGCCCGAAGUCAGCACGACGAGCAGCUGACCCCUGGGAUCUUUGAGGAACCUGAAAGUGCUUGAUGGUCUUUGUGAAUCUGAAAUCCGAGCGAAGCGUCAGACCCUCGAGUUUCCCCAGGGGAACUCCGUUAGUCUCCUGGGAUUUGAUGUAUUCACGCUUUGUUCCUUCUGGACCAGUCACGCCCCACGCCAAUCUGAGCCGUCGGGGGUUGGCCCUUCCAGGAUGCUGUGAUUAGGUCUAGGGAAUUCCACCUGGAGGGAAGGGUGGGCUGUGUCCUAGGGAAUUCCACCUGGAGGGAAGGGUGGGCUGCGUCCUCGGGAGGGAGACAGCAGGUGGCAGGCUUCGGCCUCCCAGGCAGCCCUAUUGAAAAGUGAAGCCACCUGGACUUCCUGGGUCAAGUGGGGACUGGGACAACUUUUCUAUCUAGCAAGAGGAUUGUAAAAUGCACCAAUCAGCGCUCUGUAAAAUGCACCAAUCAGCACUCUGUAAAAUGCACCAAUCAGCACUCUGUAAAAUGCACCAAUCAGUGCUCUGUAAAAUGCACCAAUCAGCACUCUGUAAAAAUGCACCAAUCAGCGCUCUGUAAAAUGCACCAAUCAGCACUCUGUAAAAUGCACCAAUCAGUGCUCUGUAAAAUGCACCAAUCAGUGCUCUGUAAAAUGCACCAAUCAGUGCUCUGUAAAAUGCACCAAUCAGCAGGAUUCUAAAAGUAGUCAAUCGCAGAGAGGAUUGAAAAAAGGGCACUCUGAUAGGACAGAAAUGGAACAUGGGCGGGGCCAAUAAGGGAAUAAAAGCUGGCUGCCACCAACCACCCCCGCCCCCCCCCCCCACCUCUAGCCAGCAGUGGCAACGUGUUCGGGUCCUCGUCUAUGCUGUGAAAGCUUUAUCCUUUCUCUCUUCACAAUAAACCUUGCUACUGUUCACUUUUUGGGUCCGUGCCAUCUUUAAGAGCUGUUAACACUCACCGCGAAGGUCCCUAGCUCCAUUAUCGAAGUCAGGGAGACAACGAACCCACCAGCAGGAACCACCUCCGGACACACUAUGUCCCUGCAUCCCCGAAGCUCCCGCUACUCCCUGGAAUAUUCUUUGAAAAGGGUCCCUGUGUCCUUUUUUGCCAGCAACAGAAACUCUAAAAACAGCCACCAUUAUAGCAAUCAAUUACCAAACUCUUCUGCUGAGGCCAGGCAGAAAGCAAAGCACAACGGACCUUACCAGGAGGCCCCGCCGCUCCUGUCCAGCCCCUGCCCACUCACUCAGGUGCUCAUCACCCCCAGGAGGCUCCACUGCUCCUGUCCAGCCUCUACCCACUCUCUCAGGUGUCCAUCACUUCCAGGAGGCUUUGCGCUCCUGUCCAGCCCCUGCCCACUCACUCAGGUGCUCAUCACCCCCAGGAGGGCCCCCCUCCCUGCCCAGCUUCCCCCUACUCACUCAGGUGCUCAUCACCCCCAGGAGGCCCCACUGCUCCUGUCCAGCCUCUACCCACUCUCUCAGGUGUCCAUCACCUCCAGGAGGCUUUG